CACGUAGGGCGCAAGCGUUGUCCGGAAUUAUUGGGCGUAAAGAGCUCGUAGGCGGUCUGUUGCGUCUGCUGUGAAAACCCGGGGCUUAACCCCUGGCUUGCAGUGGAUACGGACAGACUAGAGGUAGGUAGGGGAGAAUGGAAUUCCCGGUGUAGCGGUGAAAUGCGCAGAUAUCGGGAGGAACACCGGUGGCGAAGGCGGCUUCCUGGACACUUACUGACGCUGAGACGCGAAAGCGUGGGGAGCAAACAGG
rnacentral:rRNA from 1 species